CGUAAAGCUUCAGUUUACGGCAGUGGAAUCAGUCCGGUUAUAGCGUACAACAAAACAAAGUUUUACAUCGAACUGGUUCCCAGUUUUCCAGGUGUCGAUCAUCAAACACGUGUCUGCUGGAGCUAUGAAGACGAAGAAGCAACCGAACAUCCUGCUGACAGGGACUCCCGGAGUUGGAAAAACCACUCUAGGAAAGGAACUGGCCCAGCGCACGGGGCUGACCUAUGUCAACAUAGGAGACCUGGCCCAGGAAGGACAACUGUUUGAUGGAUAUGAUGACGAGUACCAGUGCCCCAUUCUGGAUGAGGACAGGGUGGUGGAUGAGCUGGAUGAAAAGAUGAGUGAAGGAGGCGUGAUCGUGGACUAUCACGGCUGUGACCUGUUCCCCGAGCGCUGGUUCGACAUCGUUUUUGUCCUGCGCACAGACAACACCCAGCUGUACACUCGACUGGAGGCCAGGGGCUACACGGGAAAAAAGCUGCAGGACAAUGUGCAAUGUGAGAUCUUCCAGACCAUCUAUGAGGAAGCCAUGGAGGCCUACAGUAAGGAGAUUGUCCACCAACUUCCCAGCAACACUCCUGAGGACAUGGAGCACAACCUGGAGCAGAUAGUGCAUUGGACUGAACAGUGGAUGAAGGACCAUAACUAGGAGGUGACCUCACUGGGUCAACAAGAGUCAACAAUUAAAACCUGAAUUGUAUCAUUUCUGAAUCUGCGUUUACUGUCAUAUUGAGCAAAAGUUUUGAAUUUGUUUGUAUUUUGUUUCCAAUGACCCGACUUUCUUGUAAUUGGCCUGGAGUUCGACACAUGUGGUCUUGAGCAAUAGUUGGACAGACUUUCAAAGUGUCUCUUUGGACAGUGCCUGCUUUUGCACUCAGUUUUUAUCCAGUCUUUGUACAGUUUUCAGAAAGCAUGUUGUUUAGCUACAUGACCUAUGAAUCAAUUGUCACCUAACUGAACGAAUGAAUCAGUGUUGUCUAGAUUUAGAUGGAAUUCUAUGACAGACAAGGCAAAUAAACCAUUGUAAUUGGAUCUUUAGGCAUUUUGUUACUAGCCACACAGUUUGUUCUCAUGUUGUUAGUUCAAUCUGUGAUUAAAGGCCAAAGAAAGCAGCA